rnacentral:rRNA from 1 species
AAUAUUUGACAAUUGGCGAAAGCCUGAUCCAGCCAUGCUGCGUGUGUGAAGAAGGUCUUCGGUUUGUAAAGCACUUUAAGUUGGGAGGAAGGGUUGUAGAUUAAUACUCUUCAAUUUUGACGUUCCCGACAGAAUAAGCACCGGCUUACUUCUUUCCAGCAGCCGUUGUAAUACGCAUGGUGCAAGCGUUAAUCGGAAUUACUGGGCGUAAAGCGCGCGUAGGUGGUACGUUAAGUUGGAUGUGAAAGCCCCGGGCUCAACAUGGGAACUGCAUCCAAAACUGGCGAGCUAGAGUACGGUAGAAGGUGGUGGAAUUUCCUGUGUAGCGGUGAAAUGAGUAGAUAUAAGAAGGAACACCAGUGGCGAAGGCGACCACCUGGACUGAUACUGACACUGAGGUGCGAAAGAGUGGGGAGCAAACAGG